AGAGAUAUUACGUUUUUAGGUAGACAAAGUAAUACAGUAAGAAUCUGAAACAAUGGAUCUUCUGUAGUAUUUUUGUUUAACCAGACCGAUAUUAUAAAUGUUUUUUACUUAAAUGUCACAGUGAAAUGUUUAGGUCUAAUUAGAUCAGUAAGUGAUUUACCUUGUUGUUGUCAGCUUUCGGCGGUGAAAAAAGUCUGCAGUGGGAGAGAGGAGGUGCCACUGAGAGAGCUGAAGCUCCGGCAGGAUAAAUCUGAUGUCACCAUCAACUUUUGGCGUGAUGCUGCCGUUGAGGAGUUGGUGCUUGGCAGCACAUAUAGCUUCUCACAUAUGACAAGUAGGGCUGCAGGGGGUGAUCAGCUGCAGUCAAUUGCCCACACCAACAUAAAGAUGGUGACCGUGACACAGGAGGCAGUCGGGGUGGAGGUCCUGGGUGUCACAGAGGGCAACACAGAAGGACAGCUGGAGGUCCUGCUGUCCAACGGAGCUCUCCUGG